CUUGUACUCCCUCCGUCUCAAAAUAAGUGUCGUUGAUGUAGUAUAAAAUUUGUAUCAACUUAGUACAAAUUUUGCGACACUUAUUUUGGGACGGAGGGAGUAUAUU
rnacentral:pre_miRNA from 2 species